ACCUGCUCUGGACUGGGGACUCAGGGGAGCACCGGGAGCUUGCACCCAUGGACUACCGUGAGCCUAGUCUGGGCAGCAGCAUUUUCCAGCACCAGAGGGAUUGAUAACAGAGAGAACAUCCACAGGAGAAAGACCCUCUGAAUUUGUCAUCUCUUCAGAGCGAUACACCUAAUACAGUCUUCUUGGAGCAAUUAGCCAAAAGGAAGGGAUCGGAAAAGAAACAUCCAAAGAAGAACAUCAGCACCAUCAUCAUCACCAACAGCUUUUGCAGCCCUGGAGAACAGAACUCCAAGCCAAGAAGCUGCUACCCUGAACAUCAGGACCUUAUACUAGAGAGCUGCUGCUCAGAACUCGGGACUUUAUGCCAAAGCUUUUUGUAAGGACUUUAACUUUCUAAACUCUUUGCCUUUGAGACUGAUACUUUUAUACAAUAAAUACCUU